GGUGGAAGUACUGUCCCCAGUGGGGUUCAGUGUUGUCCCUCCAGGUUCACUAUCACCCCUUUUGGCUCAGCACUGGUGUUUGAACCUGGGGCCUCGUGCAUGGAAGGCAUCAAUCACUCUGCCGCUGAGCUAUGUUUCUACAGGGUUUUGGUAAGUUAGCCGUGUUGGGUUAAAACCGAGUUGGGAGCUCAGGCAGGCCUUGAGUUUCCAAUCCUCCUGCCUCCGCUUUCUGAGUAGAUAGGAUUACAGACCUGGGGCCACAGGGCUUGAUUCCCGCCCCCUCAUUUCUGGAAAUCACUAAGAAAAACGGUAAACAGUUUAAUUUUUAACUUUGAGUAGCUAGCUGCCUGGUUGUUGCUGACAGGAAGUCACUCUCAGGCAGUGCAUGCACCCUGUGUUGUCCCAGCCAAAGAGAAAGCAGGGCCUGUACUGGACACCUCAAAUGCCUCCAUCUGCAGAGAGAGAAGCCAGUUGGUCCCUAGGAAGUUCUGCUCAGCUGUUAGUAAGCCACAGACUUCAGGAGGGAAGGCUCUGCACUUGUCUGUGGGUAUCCUGUUGCUGUGUCUUUGGUUGAAAAUCAAUGAAGUCUCCAGGCAGAAGUGGUGCAUGUCUUUACUAGCACUUGGGAGGCAGAGGUAGGAGGACUUAAGAGUUCAAGGCCAAAUCCGGCAGUAGUGGGUGCACACCUUUAAUCCCAGCUGAGAAAGGUACUCUUAAUCUGAGCUGAUUUAAAGAUUAUCAUAGGUUUGAUUUGCCUCAUAUCAGACCUUAUUUUUUUAAAUCUCCAAAGAGGAGGGAGGAGGGGGAGGAGGGGGAAGAGGGGGAAGAGGAGGAGGAGGAGGAAGAGAGAGAGAGAGAGAGAGAGAGAGAGAGAGAGAGAGAGAGAGAGAGAGAGAGAGAGAGAGAGAGAGAGAGAGAAAGAGAGAGAAAGAGAGAGAAAGAGAGAGAGAAAAGGAGGAGGAACAAUAAUUUUUUUAUGUUCCUCACUUUAGAAUUUGCUACUUAUUUACUCACUUCUUAUUCCUGUGGAUGUCUAUAACCUGAAAGACCCUCCUCUUCCCAUUUUGCUCAAUAGCCCCUUGCUCACUUCUCCGUGAAAAGUAUUAAACCAUAAUUUAUUCUCUAAGACACAAAGCAAGAGGCAUCUUCUUUCAUGGGGGACACUAUGCUCCUCCCCCACAGCACCGACCCACCUCUUCACUCCGCAGCCACUCUGCCAAUUGGUCUUUACAGCUUUCCAUCCUUACCGUGGUCUUCUUUGUAAAGCCCUCUUCCCCACUGUACACAUGCUUUGAGGGGUAAACUGAGUCUCACUCACCACUGCCUUCUGAGAAGCUAGUAUCAGACUUUGUGUGAUGCCAGAUAAUAGUUUACUGAACACAUUCAAAACGGAAUGAGCUCUGAAAUGACUGGAGCAGAGGUAGGAAGCGGCCAUCCGCUAGAGUGGCGGUGGCGUAAAGUCCCACCUAGUCUCUGAGAACAGCCACUCAAGGGCUUCAGGAAACCAGUGCCCCACCCCCAUCCCCACCCCGAAAUGAGGCAGCAUAUGCCUGAUGUGUUUGUGCUGAACCAAAGAACUUGUUUCACAUGCCCCCUCCCCUUCCCCCGACUCUCCAGAUGUUGAGCUCAGCUGGCAGGCUUCAUCUACAAACAAGCUGUCUUCACUGGAGGUCACACUGUUAUUCCCCAAGGGAAGUUCCUCUGGGGAGAUGUCCACACUUGCCAGACCUUCUGCCUUGCAGGACUAAGUUGAGAAGCCU
ensembl:lincRNA Gm26545 predicted gene, 26545